UACGUAGGGUGCAAGCGUUAAUCGGAAUUACUGGGCGUAAAGCGUGCGCAGGCGGUUUUGUAAGUCUGUCGUGAAAGCCCCGGGCUCAACCUGGGAAUUGCGAUGGAGACUGCAAGGCUUGAAUCUGGCAGAGGGGGGUAGAAUUCCACGUGUAGCAGUGAAAUGCGUAGAGAUGAGGAGGAACACCGAUGGCGAAGGCAGCCCCCUGGGUCAAGAUUGACGCUCAUGCACGAAAGCGUGGGUAGCAAACAGG
rnacentral:rRNA from 1 species